UACUGACGGAGUAGCUCCACCCUAACACCACCGGGUACAGUACUGACGGAGUAGCUCCACCCUAACACCACCGGGUACAAUACUGACGGAGUAGCUCCACCCUAACACCACCGGGUACAGUACUGACGGAGUAGCUCCACCCUAACACCACCGGGUACAGUACUGACGGAGUAGCUCCACCCUAACACCACCGGGUACAGUACUGACGGAGUAGCUCCACCCUAACACCACCGGGUACAGUACUGACGGAGUAGCUCCACCCUAACACCACCGGGUACAGUACUGACGGAGUAGCUCCACCCUAACACCACCGGGUACAGUACUGACGGAGUAGCUCCACCCUAACACCACCAGGUACAGUACUGACGGAGUAGCUCCACCCUAACACCACCGGGUACAGUACUGACGGAGUAGCUCCACCCUAACACCACCAGGUACAGUACUGACGGAGUAGCUCCACCCUAACACCACCAGGUACAGUACUGACGGAGUAGCUCCACCCUAGUACCACCAUGUACAGUACUGAUGGAGUAGCUCCACCCUAACACCACCAGGUACAGUACUGACGGAGUAGUACUGUGAGUACUCCAUUCUGAUUGGCCAAUACACAUUCCAAGACUCUAAGUUCAUUUCCAACGCCACACGUACUGUGUAGUGUACGCGCACACUACACCUCGGUACAAACACCACCACCUCAUACUACACGCACACUACACCUCGGUACAAACACCACCACCUCAUACUACACGCACACUACACCUCGAUACAAACACCACCACCUCAUACUACACGCACACUACACCUCGAUACAAACACCACCACCUCAUACUACACCUCGAUAUAAACACCACCACCUCAUACUACACCUCGAUAUAAACACCACCACCUCAUACUACACCUCGAUACAAACACCACCACCUCAUACUACACGCACACUACACCUCGGUACAAACACCACCACCUCAUACUACACGCACACUACACCUCGGUACAAACACCACCACCUCAUACUACACGCACACUACACCUCGGUACAAACACCACCACCUCAUACUACACGCACACUACAC